ACUGCCUUUCAGCCUUUUGGCCAAGAUCAAGUGUAGUAUCUGUUCUUACCAGGAUGGCUGAAAUGAAGACACCCACGUCUAAGAUAUUCAGAUGUGGUAAGCUUUUGGGAAAAAAGUAAAGGAGGUGAGUCUGUCUUGACUUGUUCAUGAACUACUGUUUCCCCAGAGCUACAAAAACAUCUGCUUCAUGCAUUCUUUC